rnacentral:tRNA from 3 species
GGGUGUUUAGCUCAGCUGGGAGAGCAUCUGCCUUACAAGCAGAGGGUCGGCGGUUCGAUCCCGUCAACACCCACCA